rnacentral:rRNA from 1 species
ACACAUGCAAGUCGAGCGGAGAGAGGUAGCUUGCUACCGAUCUUAGCGGCGGACGGGUGAGUAAUGCUUAGGAAUCUGCCUAUUAGUGGGGGACAACAUUUCGAAAGGAAUGCUAAUACCGCAUACGUCCUACGGGAGAAAGCAGGGGAUCUUCGGACCUUGCGCUAAUAGAUGAGCCUAAGUCGGAUUAGCUAGUUGGUGGGGUAAAGGCCUACCAAGGCGACGAUCUGUAGCGGGUCUGAGAGGAUGAUCCGCCACACUGGGACUGAGACACGGCCCAGACUCCUACGGGAGGCAGCAGUGGGGAAUAUUGGACAAUGGGCGCAAGCCUGAUCCAGCCAUGCCGCGUGUGUGAAGAAGGCCUUAUGGUUGUAAAGCACUUUAAGCGAGGAGGAGGCUACUUUAGUUAAUACCUAGAGAUAGUGGACGUUACUCGCAGAAUAAGCACCGGCUAACUCUGUGCCAGCAGCCGCGGUAAUACAGAGGGUGCAAGCGUUAAUCGGAUUUACUGGGCGUAAAGCGCGCGUAGGCGGCUAAUUAAGUCAAAUGUGAAAUCCCCGAGCUUAACUUGGGAAUUGCAUUCGAUACUGGUUAGCUAGAGUGUGGGAGAGGAUGGUAGAAUUCCAGGUGUAGCGGUGAAAUGCGUAGAGAUCUGGAGGAAUACCGAUGGCGAAGGCAGCCAUCUGGCCUAACACUGACGCUGAGGUGCGAAAGCAUGGGGAGCAAACAGGAUUAGAUACCCUGGUAGUCCAUGCCGUAAACGAUGUCUACUAGCCGUUGGGGCCUUUGAGGCUUUAGUGGCGCAGCUAACGCGAUAAGUAGACCGCCUGGGGAGUACGGUCGCAAGACUAAAACUCAAAUGAAUUGACGGGGGCCCGCACAAGCGGUGGAGCAUGUGGUUUAAUUCGAUGCAACGCGAAGAACCUUACCUGGCCUUGACAUAGUAAGAACUUUCCAGAGAUGGAUUGGUGCCUUCGGGAACUUACAUACAGGUGCUGCAUGGCUGUCGUCAGCUCGUGUCGUGAGAUGUUGGGUUAAGUCCCGCAACGAGCGCAACCCUUUUCCUUAUUUGCCAGCGAGUAAUGUCGGGAACUUUAAGGAUACUGCCAGUGACAAACUGGAGGAAGGCGGGGACGACGUCAAGUCAUCAUGGCCCUUACGGCCAGGGCUACACACGUGCUACAAUGGUCGGUACAAAGG